GCUUAUACAUGCAAGUCGUACCAGGGCUUUUAGCCUUAGUGGCGGACGGGUGAGUAACCCUUGAGAAUCCGCCCCUAGGAGGAGGAUAACCGCUGGAAACCGUUGCUAAUACUCCAUAUGCCGAGAGGUGAAAGGAUUUAUCCACCUAAGGAGGAGCUCGCGUCUGAUUAGCUAGUUGGUAGGGUAAUGGCCUACCAAGGCGACCAUCAGUAGCUGGUUUGAGAGGAUGAUCAGCCCCCCUGGGACUGAGACCCCGCCCAGACUCCUACCGGAGGCAGCAGUAGGGAAUUUUCCCCAAUGGGCGAAAGCCUGACGGAGCAAUACCGCGUGAGGGAUGACGGCCUGUGGGUUGUAAACCUCUUUUCUCAAGGAAGAAGUUCUGACCGUACUUGAGGAAUAAGCAUCGGCUAACUCUGUGCCAGCAGCCCCGGUAAUACAGAGGAUGCCAGCGUUAUCCGGAAUCACUGGGCAUAAAGCGUCUGUAGGUGGUUUGGUAAGUCUGCUGUUAAAGACUGGGGCUCAACCCCCGAAAAGCAGUGGAAACUGCCAGACUUGAGUGUGGUAGAGGUAGAGGGAAUUCCUAGUGUAGCGGUGAAAUGCGUAGAUAUUAGGAAGAACACCAAUGGCGAAGGCACUCUACUGGACCAUAACUGACACUGAGAGACGACAGCUAGGGGGGCAAAUGGGAUUAGAUACCCCAGUAGUCCUAGCCGUAAACGAUGGAUACUAGAUGUUGCACGUAUUAACCCGUGCAGUAUCGUAGCUAAGGCGUUAAGUAUCCCGCCUGGGAAGUACGCUCGCAAGGGUGAAACUCAAAGGAAUUGACGGGGGCCCGCACAAGCGGUGGAGUAUGUGGUUUAAUUCGAUG
rnacentral:rRNA from 1 species